rnacentral:rRNA from 1 species
AUUGAACGCUGGCGGCAUGCUUUACACAUGCAAGUCGAACGGUAACAGGCCGCAAGGUGCUGACGAGUGGCGAACGGGUGAGUAAUGCAUCGGAACGUGCCCAGUCGUGGGGGAUAACUACUCGAAAGAGUAGCUAAUACCGCAUACGAUCUAUGGAUGAAAGCGGGGGACCGUAAGGCCUCGCGCGAUUGGAGCGGCCGAUGUUAGAUUAGGUAGUUGGUGGGGUAAAGGCUCACCAAGCCAACGAUCUGUAGCUGGUCUGAGAGGACGACCAGCCACACUGGGACUGAGACACGGCCCAGACUCCUACGGGAGGCAGCAGUGGGGAAUUUUGGACAAUGGGCGCAAGCCUGAUCCAGCAAUGCCGCGUGCAGGAAGAAGGCCUUCGGGUUGUAAAAUGCUUUUGUACGGAACGAAACGGCUCUGGUUAAUACCCGGGGAUAAUGACGGUACCGUAAGAAUAAGCACCGGCUAGCUACGUG